AACGAACGCUGGCGGCAUGCCUAACACAUGCAAGUCGAACGAGAUCUUCGGGUCUAGUGGCGCACGGGUGCGUAACGCGUGGGAAUCUGCCCCUUGGUUCGGAAUAACAGUUGGAAACGACUGCUAAUACCGGAUGAUGACGAAAGUCCAAAGAUUUAUCGCCAGAGGAUGAGCCCGCGUAGGAUUAGCUAGUUGGGGUGGUAAAGGCGCACCAAGGCGACGAUCCUUAGCUGGGCUGAGAGGAUGAUCAGCCACACUGGGACUGAGAAACGGCACAGACUCCUACGGGAGGCAGCAGUGGGGAAUAUUGGACAAUGGGCGAAAGCCUGAUCCAGCAAUGCCGCGUGAGUGAUGAAGGCCUUAGGGUUGUAAAGCUCUUUUACCCGGGAUGAUAAUGACAGUACCGGGAGAAUAAGCUCCGGCUAACUCCGUGCCAGCCGCCGCGGUAA
rnacentral:rRNA from 1 species